UUUAUUUGCCACGUACGUUCUAGGAGCAGAUAUGGCCAUUAGGCCCAUCAAGUCUACUGCCAUUCUAUCAUGGCUGAUCUAUCUUUCCCUCUCAACACCAUUCUCCUGCCUUCGCCCCAUAACACCUGAUCCUUAUUAAUCAAGUAUCUAUCAAUCUCCACCUUAAAAAUAUCCAGUGACUUGGCCUCCACAGUAAUCUGUGGCAAUGAAUUCCACAGAUUAACCAUCCUCUCAGUAAAGAAAUUCC